rnacentral:rRNA from 1 species
GAUGAACGCUAGCGACAGGCUUAACACAUACAAGUCGAGGGGCAGCAUAGAAGUAGCAAUACUUUGGUGGCGACCGGCGCACGGGUGAGUAACGCGUCUGCAACCUACCUAUCAGAGGGGGAUAACCCGGCGAAAGUCGGACUAAUACCGCAUAAAACAGGGGCACCGCAUGGUGAUAUUUGUUAAAGAUUAAUUGCUGAUAGAUGGGCAUGCGUUCCAUUAGGUAGUUGGUGAGGUAAUGGCUCACCAAGCCGACGAUGGAUAGGGGAACUGAGAGGUUGGUCCCCCACACUGGUACUGAGACACGGACCAGACUCCUACGGGAGGCAGCAGUGAGGAAUAUUGGUCAAUGGGCGAGAGCCUGAACCAGCCAAGUCGCGUGAAGGAAGAAGGAUCUAUGGUUCGUAAACUUCUUUUGCAGGGGAAUAAAGUGGAGGACGUGUCCUCUUUUGUAUGUACCCUGAGAAUAAGGAUCGGCUAACUCCGUGCCAGCCGCCGCUGUAACAC